AUGCUAACGAUAUUCAAAAAGUACAUACCUCAAAGAAAACGAUGACGCGAGUUAUCAUCUCUAACGUUCGAGGACUACAAAAAACACUCGGAUUGUAGGCAACAGUUUACUUCCUGGGAUUGGUGACGUAGAGAAGACCAACAUUAUCAUAGUUCAGCCCUCUCUGCUUUGCUUGGGUACGCCCUCAAAGACGGGGGUGGAGAGCGCUGAGUCAGAAGAGAGCUAAAAUGGCGGAGGUUGGGAGUCCCUGCUUUGACCCUGUUUGCAAACUCUUGUUUCAUUGUUUAAGCGAUUAAAUCUCUCGAGUAGACGCUGUCUCUUUAGAUGCAAGGGCAAAAUAGCACUUUAUGGACUUACACAGAGGACAUCAUGUUUAAUACGGUUCCGGAAAAAUCCAGUCAGAAGUGGUUCACGGAGUUUUCACAAUAACUGCUUCUCAUGAACCGAAGCUGCGCGACGUCUCCUCCUGAAAGUUGGAUUACCGUGCACUUCUGGAUCACAGGCUAUUCGCAGCUGGACACAUCCUUCUACACUGUAUGCAAACAUGCAACAUCAUUACACACAGUACAAGGAGUCAGACUGGCAUAUGAGGAGCAAAGGAACCCAGGCAGUAGCAUCGUUUCACAAUGUUUACAUCACCAUCAUCAGUGGAUGCCUUUGCCGUCCGUAGCCUGAGAUUUCAGAUUUGCAGCAAAAAAUUUGACUUUCCCAUUUAUUGGAAUGCUGUGCAGGUAUUUAAGUAUUUUAGUAACUGUUGUACCUUGCAGCCAUCCAUUACAAUGUCACCAAGCCGUAACAAAAGCAGGAGAGGGAAAGUACAAGGCUAUGUUCCCAAAACACACAAGUGACAUACUUUAUGUGGAUGAUGUGAUCAGGCUUGUGUUUGAUGAGGUAUUUGAAGAUAAGCUGAAGGAAACCCCGAUUCCAAUGGACCUGGCAUCACAGUUUGAGAGACCUUCAAAGGAGGACGUGAUUGCAUGCCAUCUUCAGUGCAGGGGUCGUCGGAAGCCAACAUUCCGAUCAGGAAGCUCCAAGCAUAUCUGGAGAACAACACACGACAGGAUGAUAACCCUAAAGUGUCGUCUUAAAUAGCACCAGCUGACAAAGCUUUGAUAUGCCAUUUAUCUGAAUAGAUAGCUGUAAGAAGUGAAUUGAACAAUUUUUGAAAGAAGAGCACAAUAUGGUUACUAAAGUAUGUUUAUUUGUAUAUUGUUUAACAUUUAAAUAUAUAUUUGUAAUAAAUAAACUUUUGACUGACUACUA